rnacentral:misc_RNA from 1 species
CAACAAUGCGCCCUUACGCCAUUUCUGAGUCUGGUCUUGCGUGUCUCCAACCGUGUUGCGUGUGUUGUUAAGCGACUCGAGGCAUGGCACGCUGCUCGAUUGUCGUCGUGCUCGAAGCCGCCCAAGUGUGUGUGACUCGGCAAUGUGAAACUGCGCGCUCGCAAAACCAUCGUCUCCUUUUUUAGCGGAGUGCCUCGCGUGAGAAGCGGGCGUCUUGUGCUGCCACUUCAAGAUGUCUCGGCACCGGAAUGUUCGGACUAUGAAUUACGAUGACGACUACGAAGGCUACUAUGAUGUCUACGGGAGAUCACAGGAAGAAGAUUCGUGCAUAUCUCCGACUACAGAGGAGCAGUUCCUGUACAACAGGGACAAGCUCCACUCCAUGUCAUCAUUCCUGUCUCCUGAAGUCCUGCAAGAGGAGAACGAGGAGGAGGACGAGGAAGACGAAUCCCACAAGCCUGCAACCCGGGAACCCCAGCUCAGUCCCGUGGACGAAGUGAGGCUUUACGAGUGCAUCGAGAAGAUGCAGAACGUGGUGGGUGACUCGAUACCUGAGGCCACGCUUCGUCGGGUGGCCCUCGAGGGAGACUUCAACGCCGAGGUCGCUCUCGACCGUCUCCUACGAGAAAUGGACAAGCCGAAGCCGCAGCGCGAGCCACGGAAGAGAGAAUCGGACAGCGAAGACGAUGAUUCAUGUGUCGUUUCGCCGUCCGACACGGUGUUCGAUGGUGGUGGUGGGACGUCCAUAGCGGUCCCACAUUUGACGACUGUCGUUGCACAGUUCGAUGUGCCUGCUAGAAGUCGGGGCGAUAAUGCGCGGAGAUCAAGCAGCAGCGAGCGCGCAGGGAGAGCUGCCGUGACAGCGAAUGCGGGGACAGACUCGGCAACACUUUUAAAUCUUGCGCUUUUUUCCUCUCCCCCCACUGCAUGUACAGUUGAAACCUUAGGUUGUGACUUAGAACUUGACGAUUUGCUCAAAUCAGAUUGCUCGGCUGAAUCGCGUAAGGCAGACAGCCUGCCGAAAGCCAUGCACAGUAUUAGCGGUUGUGACGGUGCACCGCAACCCUUGCUUGUUCAUGACCAGUGUGAGACAGUACCUGAAACAUCGCUCGCCCACGCUUCAAGCACUACUUGUGAUCUCAGUACUAACCUUCAAGUUAGUCGUAUGGACUCUAGGGACGGCUUUCUUGAGGCACUUCUCCAAGAAGGAAAUGUUCCAAGCGACAUCUCACCAUCGGGCCCUACAGGAAAACCAUCGAGUGCAGUGCCCGAUGAGCUGGACUUACUGUUGGGCAUGGUGUCGAGCCACAAGCCACAUCCUGUCGGCCCGAUCGACACUUCAAGACACAACAACCAAGCUACUUCAGCGAGUGCGAGUCGCAAUGUGCAAUCUGUAGGCAAACCUGUAAAAGAUGACGUUGGAGACAGCUUAGAUGAACUUUUGGGAAUCGGUGCGGACUCCUCAGCUCCGCGACAAGGCGGCAAAGGCGCUAUUGAAACGGACUUCGACGACUUUCUCAUGUCGUUGAGGACUGACUUUGGUGGUGCAAGUGACUUGACUAGGCGGGAGGAUGGUCUGGGGAUGCUGCCCAUCGCAGAUGUUUUGUCGGCAGCUUCCAGCGAUGAGAAGGGACCUAUGAAAUCGCCUCAGAAGCCAAGCUCGAAGAAACAGCAGCCCGCUUUGCUCAAUCUCGGUGAAAUACUCGGCCUGAACAGAGAGCCCACUCCCAAUACGGCUGCUGAGGGUGGAGCUCUCAAACUCGACGAUAUUCUGAAAGGAACCACGGCGGUGGGUGUUGCUGCGGUCACCAGACAAGAGAGCCACUCAUACGGUUAUGGCAGUGAAAGCCCCGAGUUUAGUCCCCUUCACAGCACCGCAGCUGUGAAAGAAGCGUCCCUCUUUGGCAAAGUACUCGUGUACUUCUGUUUUGUCCGGCGGCAGAUGCCUACCUUUGAGUUAAUGAGUUGGCUGAGAAAGCUUGGUGUGCUGGAGCUGAGGCCUGGAGAUAAAACGAGGAUGGCAGCAUUCAAUUUUGGCGUGCCGUCGCCCGAUGACAUCGUGCGUGCGUGUCGGAAACGUGCGGUUGCAGCGUCAGAGCGAAAACCAACGCCUCUCGGACAAGUUGGCGCGCCCGCCAGAGCUGCCGGUGCCAACAAGGAGCUGCUUCCCGCGGUCGACUCGGCGCUGAGGCAGUCGUUUCCCAAGCAACCUCAGCCUGAUGUCGAAGAUAAGCGCUGCAAAGCAUCGUCGGAGACUCUCAAGGUACCAAGUGCGACAAAUUCCAACCGCAGUUCUCCAGAUCUGGAUCGCAAGGAGCCCUCUCCAGAAGCUGGUGGGGACUCGCAGCCAGCUGACAGCGCCACCCCCAAAACACCAAGGUCCAAGCCACCCAAGGACGUGGCUGCAGAAUAUGCCAAGGAGAGGGGCUCCACGAAGUCUCUUCUCAACUUGGUGGUCAUUGGGCAUGUUGACGCCGGCAAGAGCACACUCAUGGGACACCUCUUGUACAGGCUGGGCUGUGUGCAGAAGAAGCAAAUGCACAAGUACGAGCAGGAGUCCAAGAAACUGGGGAAGGCUUCAUUCAUGUAUGCCUGGGUGUUGGAUGAGACGUCUGAAGAGAGGAAUCGCGGAAUCACCAUGGAUGUGGCUCAGGCGAAGUUUGAGACGCCUAACCGUAGUAUCGUCCUCUUAGAUGCACCGGGUCAUCGAGACUUCAUCCCAAACAUGAUCACGGGCGCCGCCCAAGCGGACGUUGCCAUCCUAGUAGUUGACGCCACCCGGGGCGAAUUCGAAACUGGUUUCGAAACGGGAGGGCAGACGAGGGAACACACCUUGCUUGUGCGGUCACUAGGUGUCUCCCAGCUUGCAGUGGCCAUCAACAAGCUGGACAAUGUGUCGUGGGACGAGGGGCGCUACAACGAAAUCACGGCCAAGCUGCGCAGUUUCUUGCGACAGGCCGGCUACCGGGAGUCUGACUUCACCUUCGUGCCUUGCAGUGGCCUGACGGGCGAAAAUCUGACCACCAAACCGGAGUCCGGUUCUCCACUCACCAAGUGGUACAUGGGGCCUUGCCUUGUUGACGUUAUUGAUAGCUUCAAGCCACCCGAACGGCCCGUGUCGAAGCCUUUCCGGUUAUGCGUAAGCGAUGUUUUCAAGGGCCAGGGGUCUGGUUUCUGCGUUUCCGGUCGGAUAGACGCCGGCUGUGUGGCUAACGGCGACAAAGUCCUAGUGAUGCCGGCAGCCGAGCAGGGAACCGUUAAAGGAAUCACCAUUGACGAGUUAUCAACGACGCAAGCGUUUGCGGGUGAUCAAGUGGCACUGACACUGGCCGGUGUGGACAUGAUCAAGGUCACUACAUGGAAGCUUCCUCUGUGAUCCGGCCGUGCCAAUUCGGGUGUCGACGCGGUUCCAAGCACGUCUGGUGGUGUUUAACAUCGAGGUUCCCCUGACUAGGGGAUUCCCCGUUGUGCUCCACUACCAGAGCACGACGGAGCAGGCUUCCAUCCAUCGCAUAAUAUCGCAGCUGAACAAGGUCACGGGUGAAGUGGUGCGCAACAAGCCGAGGUGUUUGGUGAAGAACACGAGUGGCCUGGUUGAAAUCAAGGUGAGCCGUCCAAUAUGCGUGGAACUCUACAAGGAAUUCAAGGAGCUCGGCCGCAUCACUCUUCGGUCGGGUGGCAGCACCGUGGCCGCUGGCGUUAUCACCGAGGUGAUGUAAUUGACCAAAGGUCGGCAUUCUACAGCCAGUGGCGAUACGUGAAACAAAUAGACUUUUGACUUCACAAGCAUGGAUGACUUUGCAGAAUCACUUUGGCGAACAAUGCGGCACUGGACAGAGGCUAGCAAACCCUCUACUGAUGCAAGCUUUCUACAGUCGAUCUGUGUUUUCACUUAUUUUUUUUUUUUCAUUUGCGUCGGUUAAGGCAAUAAAAAAAGUGGGGACUGUGCCUGCAAGCAUAA